rnacentral:misc_RNA from 1 species
CAAGGAAGCGUCCUAGGCCCAAUACUAUACACAUUAUACACGGCGAACAUACCAACAACUACCAACAGCAAAAUACUGACAUUCGCGGACGACACAGCUGUACUAGUCGGGCACACUAACCCAGAAACGGCAGUCAAAUUGCUAAAAGAACAUAUCACAAAAAUAGAAAAGUGGCUGCAAGAUAAACAAAUAAAAGCGAAACCCAAUAAAUGCAACCAUAUUACAUUCACACUGCAAAAACAGAUAUCACCAAACAUCCUUCUGAACGGCACGCAUAUAAUACGAACAAAGCAAGUCAAAUACAUAGGACUCCACUUAGAUACACAACUCACAUGGAAACAGCAUACUAAAUCAAUAAUAGACAAAAUACAGACAACGAGGAGACAAAUG